rfam:Paenibacillus uliginis N3/975 genome assembly, chromosome: I
UCCAUCGCGAGGUGGAAUCUGAAGGAAGCUGGAGGCCUGUGUACUCAAGGUUCUUGGU